rnacentral:lncRNA from 1 species
UGCCCGGAGCCUCCCUCCGCCUGUUCUGAGGCUUUCUGAGGGCAGCGCCCUCUGCAGCGUCCGCCCCGGGGCUGUGAGGGCGCGGUACCCGGAGGCGGCACUCGAGGCCUCACAUAGGCCGGCACGGCUUAGAGAGGGGGAAAAAAGCGGGAUUAAAGUUUUCCUCUUCCAAGAAGAGAAGCAGAAAUGCAAAACGUUGGGAUAACUAAAUGCACUUGUCUUGGAAGGGGCUCAAGAAUGAUGCAGUAGAUGGCAGAAUGGCCCUGCAGUCCUUUUUCUGCACAGAAGACUGGAGACUCACAGAUAUGCAGUGUGCCUUCUUAUCACAAACAGUACAUUCUGAUCCUGGUGUUUAGGAUUUGCACUGAGCAGCUUCUCUGUUGCUUUCCCUGGUGUUAUGUAGUGGCAGACAAAGCUGUUCAACAGACAAAGUGUUCACUGAGAAAUUAUGGUUGUCCUGUCAGCACUGUCCCCUGCAACUUGAUCUCAUCCUACAAACAUCUUUUAUUGAGGGCACUGGGACUAUUCUUGCAUAGAUGCUUGCAGGAUUGUAGUACACAACACUAUUAAUUAAAACCUUUCUACUUCCUCAAACUUUUCUAGUAUGCUGAGAUACUGGAUUCAAUGAUCUAACAAAUAUCCUCAAACACAAAGCAAAAUAGGAUAUUUACUUCCAUUAUAAUAAUCUCUUGUUUGAAGACCACUGUGUUCCCCUCUGUUCACAAAAAUAAGCUAUAUAAAGUUAAAAGAGUAUACAAAUAACUGUCUGAUAUACACAUUAAAACCUAGCUAUUAAAUCCAGAGCAUUGCUAUAGAAAAUUCAGUGUUCUCAAUAUUACCUGGCAUUAGCUACAGUGGAUUUCUUGCAGUUACACUUAAUAUCCCUUUGGAUGCAGGUAAAUUCCUCCCUCAUGAUUAAAGAAUGGGGGAAGUGUUUUAAAAUCCACAAAAGCAAAAUAUAAAAACAAUUUGAACAAAUUAAGAGACUAGAGAUAUGAAAUUUCACUGAACCAGCCAGUGCUUCUAUUUGCCUUUGCCCUCACAAUCAGUUCUGAACCUGGCUCAGGCUUUCCACAGGAACAAUGAAGUGCAGUGAUACCUCCCCUCCCCCAGCCAUUUGCUCACUGGGUCAAUACAGAGAACUGACAUCUCACUCUCAGUUUAGUCAGGUUGUGUUGCUCAUUUAAGCAUUACAAAGUCAGAGAUGUAACUUCUCUCUCAAAUAUUUGUGAUACCUUGGGGUACUUUUAAUCACGAAGUACAAUCAUCCUUUCUUGACUUGUGAAAUACAGCUUCCAGAGGGCCCUGAUCUGCAUUACUGAUGUAUGCAUAAAGUGAUUCACUGUUGUAAACUUGAAAAUCAAUAAGGAAUUAGCUUCAAGCAUUUGUUCUUCCCAACAUUACUGUCUUAGUUUAUGUUAACUGCAAUCAGAAUGGUUUAAUAAUGGACCUCUGCUGUAGAGAGACUUGCAGGUU